GAUUAUGGCUCAGGAUGAACGCUAGCUACAGGCUUAACACAUGCAAGUCGAGGGGCAUCAGGACGAUAGCUUGCUAUUGUUGCUGGCGACCGGCGCACGGGUGAGUAACGCGUAUCCAACCUUCCCCAUAGUAGAGGAUAGCCCGGCGAAAGUCGGAUUAAUACUCUAUGUUGUAUAAUGAUGACAUCAGACUUAUACCAAAGAUUCAUCGCUAUGGGAUGGGGAUGCGUCUGAUUAGAUAGUAGGCGGGGUAACGGCCCACCUAGUCGACGAUCAGUAGGGGUUCUGAGAGGAAGGUCCCCCACAUUGGAACUGAGACACGGUCCAAACUCCUACGGGAGGCAGCAGUGAGGAAUAUUGGUCAAUGGACGGGAGUCUGAACCAGCCAAGUAAGCGUGCAGGAUGACGGCCCUAUGGGUUGUAAACUGCUUUUAUACGGGGAUAAAGUGAGGGACGUGUCCCUUAUUGUAGGUACCGUAUGAAUAAGGACCGGCUAAUUCCGUGCCAGCCGCUGC
rnacentral:rRNA from 1 species